rnacentral:rRNA from 1 species
GACGAACGCUGGCGGUGUGCUUAACACAUGCAAGUCGAACGGAAAGGCCCUGCUUUUGUGGGGUGCUCGAGUGGCGAACGGGUGAGUAACACGUGAGUAACCUGCCCUUGACUUUGGGAUAACUUCAGGAAACUGGGGCUAAUACCGGAUAGGAGCUCCUGCUGCAUGGUGGGGGUUGGAAAGUUUCGGCGGUUGGGGAUGGACUCGCGGCUUAUCAGCUUGUUGGUGGGGUAGUGGCUUACCAAGGCUUUGACGGGUAGCCGGCCUGAGAGGGUGACCGGCCACAUUGGGACUGAGAUACGGCCCAGACUCCUACGGGAGGCAGCAGUGGGGAAUAUUGCACAAUGGGCGGAAGCCUGAUGCAGCAACGCCGCGGGCGGGAUGACGGCCUUCGGGUUGUAAACCGCUUUCGCCUGUGACGAAGCGUGAGUGACGGUAAUGGGUAAAGAAGCACCGGCUAACUACGUG